GAAAAAGUAUGCAAGAACUGCUAACUCUGUGCCCCCGUGUCUAACAACACGGCUUUUUCA
rnacentral:tRNA from 1 species